rnacentral:rRNA from 1 species
UACGUAGGGGGCAAGCGUUAUCCGGAAUCACUGGGCGUAAAGGGUGCGUAGGUGGUCCAUCAAGUCAGAAGUGAAAGGCAGUGGCUUAACCAUUGUAAGCUUUUGAAACUGACGGACUUGAGUGCAGGAGAGGUAAGUGGAAUUCCUAGUGUAGCGGUGAAAUGCGUAGAUAUUAGGAGGAACACCAGUGGCGAAGGCGACUUACUGGACUGUAACUGACACUGAGGCACGAAAGCGUGGGGAGCGAACA